UUCAGCUACUCCGUGCAUCGCCUCAGA
rnacentral:sRNA from 1 species